rnacentral:lncRNA from 1 species
CAGUUCUUGAAAAUGUGACAGACCAUAUACAAUAUACAAGAAACAAUAAGAUUUUAUGCAGAACAUAAAAGCUUUAGGAAAAAUAGGGCUUCUUAAUCUGUAACUUUAAUAAAUUUAACAUUAACUUUUAAAAAGCAACAUUAACCUCUGAAUGGUAUUUUCUGCCCUCAAAACCACUCGAGGGCACCAAAAAAGCUCAUAUUGAAUAGAAGCAACAUAAAAGAAACUUUCUAAUUAUUCCAUCCUUCAGGAACAGGGCCAAGGGAGGUGGUCGGGAGAAAUGAAGCACUGUCCGGACAGUGUGAAGGUGAUCUAUGCUGUGGUCAGAACAGCAGAAGGCCAUGAACUUUGUGGUGAAUGCCUUUGUUUUGAGUCAAAUGUUCCUUGGCACAUGAAGGAACAUCAGGUCCAAAGGCUCGUAGUGACUGAACAGAUAACGUGAAUUCCAUCAAAGCUUGACUUCUGCUCAUCCCUGCCUCUCCUCCCGAAGAUAGUAUGGAAUUGCAAGGGAAGAAUUGGUCCACGUCUAUGAAAGGAGGCCUCUGAAACAUGCUGACUUCACAGAGGAGAAGGAAUGAGCUCAAUUUCAGGCACCUCCUGGGGGCGGUCAAGAGCAGAAUGAAGGAGAACAGGGUUCUUCAUGGAGUCCUUGGAAACAGAAACUUAGUCCCUGGUCUCAGCUGGUUUAUAGCAAGUUCCCAUUUGACAGUGAUUUAAGGCCCCUCAGGACCCAAAUCAUGUUCAGUUU